UUCCACUUGGUUGGGAGGGGGGGGGUGGCUAGGUUUUCCUUGCCAUCAUUCUUCCUAGCAAACAAAAUAUUUUAUCAUACACUCAACAUUUCUCAGCAAUCAUGUACUCAGCAUCUCUCAACAGAAUCUGAGAAAAUACAAAUUA